rnacentral:rRNA from 1 species
GACGAACGCUGGCGGCGUGCUUAAUACAUGCAAGUCAACUGAACUUAAGAUAGCAAUAUUUUAAGGGAGGUGGCGCACGGGUGAGUAACACGUAGGUAAUCUGCCUUUAGGUCUGACACAACCCCGAGAAAUCGGGGCUAAUAUCAGAUGAUGUAGCGGCUCGACAUCGAGACAGUUGUUAAACCUUCGGGGCCUAAAGAUGAGCCUGCGUCUGAUUAGGUAGUUGGCGGAGUAAAAGCCCACCAAGCCUGCGAUCAGUAGCUGGUCUGAGAGGAUGAUCAGCCACACUGGAACUGAGACACGGUCCAGACUCCUACGGGAGGCAGCAGUAAGGAAUAUUGCUCAAUGGCCGAAAGGCUGAAGCAGCAACGCCGCGUGGAGGAUGAGAUACUUUUGUAUGUAAACUCCUGUAAGAAGGGAAAAUAUUCCGAUUUAUCGGGAUUGAUUGUACCUUCAGAGUAAGCCCCGGCUAACUACGUGCCAGCAGCCG